UACGGAGGGGGCUAGCGUUGUUCGGAUUCAUUGGGCGUAAAGGGUGCGUAGGUGGCGGGGUAAGUCAGGUGUGAAAUCUCGGGGCUCAACCCCGAAACUGCACUUGAUACUGCCUUGCUCGAGUACUGGAGAGGAGAUUGGAAUUUACGGUGUAGCAGUGAAAUGCGUAGAUAUCGAUAAGGAAGACCAGUGGCGAAGGCGAAUCUCUGGACAGUUACUGACACUGAGGCACGAAGGCCAGGGGAGCAAACGGG
rnacentral:rRNA from 1 species